rnacentral:tRNA from 1 species
UAGCUCAGUGGCACAGCACCUGCCUGGCAAGCAUGACAUCCUGAGUUCAAUUCCCAG